UGUUAAUUAAGUGUUAAAAUCAAUUAAACUCGUGUUCAUAAAUAUCACAUCCGUUGUUGGAUCAGCAAAAACAUGUAUUUCUUGCUUUGCCUACUAGUAUUUAUAAAAGCAGAAACUCUAGAAAUUUCACGUGAAUCCGAAAUAAAUCCCGUUCUAUUUGACAAAGAAAUAUCCAAAGAGAGCCUUCGAAAUGAAAUUCUUAAGCAUGUACUUGGUAUAGACUCGUAUAGUGUUGCAAAAGAAUUGAGAACAUCUAACAACCCCUAUCCAGACUAUGAUGUUGACAAGACAGUGUUGCGUAAAAUCGAAUCAGACAUUAAAAAUAAGAAUCAUGACAAACGAUGCCAAAAUAAUGAAUUACGCACAAGCCAACACACUAAUGUAAUGGGUAAACAAAAAGGAUAUGAACGAAAAGCCAUCACUGACAAAACGAGACAUGAUAUA